UACGAAGGGGGCGAGCGUUAUUCGGAAUCACUGGGCGUAAAGCGUGCGUAGGCUGUCUAGCAAGUUGGAAGUGAAAGCCCAGGGCUCAACCCUGGAAUUGCUUUCAAAACUGCAAGACUAGAAUCUCGGAGAGGAUAGCGGAAUUCCCAGUGUAGUAGUGAAAUACGUAGAUAUUGGGAGGAACACCAGUGGCGCAAGCGGCUAUCUGGACGAGUAUUGACGCUGAGGCACGAAAGCGUGGGGAUCAAACAGG
rnacentral:rRNA from 1 species